CCUACGGGAGGCAGCAGUGAGGAAUAUUGGUCAAUGGACGAGAGUCUGAACCAGCCAAGUAGCGUGAAGGAUGACUGCCCUAUGGGUUGUAAACUUCUUUUAUAUGGGAAUAAAAUGUUCCACGUGUGGGAUUUUGUAUGUACCAUAUGAAUAAGGAUCGGCUAACUCCGUGCCAGCAGCCGCGGUAAUACGGAGGAUCCGAGCGUUAUCCGGAUUUAUUGGGUUUAAAGGGAGCGUAGGUGGAUUGUUAAGUCAGUUGUGAAAGUUUGCGGCUCAACCGUAAAAUUGCAGUUGAAACUGGCAGUCUUGAGUACAGUAGAGGUGGUCGGAAUUCGUGGUGUAGCGGUGAAAUGCUUAGAUAUCACGAAGAACUCCGAUUGCGAAGGCAGUUCACUGGACUGCAACUGACACUGAGGCUCGAACGUGUGGGUAUCAAACAGGAUUAGAUACCCCAGUAGUC
rnacentral:rRNA from 1 species